UUGAAUUGAAGAGUUUGAUCAUGGCUCAGAUUGAACGCUGGCGGCAGGCUUAACACAUGCAAGUCGAACG
rnacentral:rRNA from 1 species